CUUCACCGAGCCCAGCCACAGCGGCCGGUCCGGGGUGUGGCCCGCACCGUAGGUGGCCAGCAGCGCCCCGGCCUC
rnacentral:antisense_RNA from 1 species